rnacentral:rRNA from 1 species
UAAGGAAUAUUGGUCAAUGGACGCAAGUCUGAACCAGCCAUGCCGCGUGAAGGAUGAAGGUCCUCUGGAUUGUAAACUUCUUUUAUCUGGGACGAAAACGGGAUUUUUAUCUCAAUUGACGGUACCAGAGGAAUAAGCUCCGGCUAACUCCGUGCCAGCAGCCGCGGUAAUACGGAGGGUGCGAGCGUUAUCCGGAUUUACUGGGUUUAAAGGGUGCGUAGGUGGGCUUAUAAGUCAGUGGUGAAAUCUCCGAGCUUAACUUGGAAACUGCCGUCGAUACUAUAGGCCUUGAAUUAUCUGGAGGUAAGCGGAAUAUGUCAUGUAGCGGUGAAAUGCUUAGAUAUGACAUAGGACACCAAUUGCGAAGGCAGCUUACUACAUAUAAAUUGACGCUGAGGCACGAAAGCGUGGGGAUCAAACA